rfam:Aedes albopictus isolate Foshan contig95059, whole genome shotgun sequence.
UAGCCUAGUGGUUAAGGCUAUGGAUCGCCAAUCCGGAGAUGGCGGGUUCGAUCCCCGU